GCUGAGGCCCGGCCCGUCGGCGUAACCAAACCACACUGCAUUUGAAGUCGUGCGUGGUUUUGCAUAGGCUGACAUUUUGCGAUUGGGUUAAACUCGGGACCUCUGCGAAGAGGACCCACUUAUUUUUUUCUUUCCAAAAUGGCAGCCUCCAGCCGCGCACGAGUGUUAGAUCUGUACCGAGCGAUGCUGAGAGAGAGCAAGCAAUUCAGCGCCUACAAUUACAGAACUUAUGCUAUCAGGAAGAUAAGAGAUGCCUUCAGAGAAAAUAAGAAUAUGAAAGAUCCUGUGGAAAUUCAGGCUCUAGUGAAUAAAGCCAAGAGAGACCUGGAAAUGAUUCGUCGACAGUUUCUCCUAACAGCAGCCUUCUAAGACCAUACCAGUAUCCUUGGGUUAGAAGAGGAAAGUCAGACUUGGCAUGUUUUACUAGUUUUCCUGAAGACACACACUCAGAAGAAUGAGAGACAACCAGGAGGCAAAUAGAAGGAGCAGGAGAAGCUUACAUCUCAAGUAAUAUGACAUGUUAGUGACUAAAGCUGGAAUACCAACAUAUUGUGUACUUGAAAUGAUAGGCUGGCAUUUACCACAGGCAAUGCCUGUCUCACAGUACUUUCUGUAGAAACUGUGUUUCUGUAGAAACCUCGUGAUUGAACAGACACAUUCUCGAUGAGAGGGAUUCCCUCAUCCAAAGGCCACCACAUUGAGCCGGAUCACACCGUGGGCUUAUGCUAGCAGUGUGGCUCCUACCUUCGUACUGUCAAUGCAUCACAGUGUGUCAGACCUCAGAGGCCUCCGAAGUCAUCAGUACAGCCUUGGCUGAGGAACCUCGUGGGAAGGAGCUGCAGAGGCUUAGCCAGAAAUGGCCAGGCAGCCUUGGGAGCAAGCACUGCGCACUGGCUGCUUCCAAAUUGUUCUAGUUCUGUGUUUGGGAUGCUGAAGAGAUUUCCCUGCUAGAAAGAACAGGAAAAAAAAAUAUUAAAAGCCUUGUAUGAGAA